rnacentral:misc_RNA from 1 species
AACGCACCUUGCGCUCCUUGGUAUUCCGAGGAGCAUGCCUGUUUGAGUGUCAUGGAAUUCUCAACCCACACAUCCUUGCGAUGUGGACGGGCUUGGACUUUGGAGGUUUCUGCCGGCCCCCCAUUCGGGUCGGCUCCUCUGGAAUGCAUUAGCUCCAUCCCUUGCGGAUCGGCUCUCGGUGUGAUAAUUGUCUACGCCGUGGUCGUUGAAGCCUCAGUUGGGCGAGCUCACAAUCGUCCCCUCCGGGACAAUUCAAUCUGACAUCUGACCUCAAAUCAGGUAGGACUACCCGCUGAACUUAA